rnacentral:rRNA from 1 species
UACGUAGGGGCCGAGCGUUGUCCGGAGUUAUUGGGCGUAAAGCGCGCGUAGGCGGCUUGACAAGUUGGAGGUGAAAGCCCGGAGCUCAACUUCGGAAUUGCCUUCAAGACUGUCUCGCUCGAGGCAGGGAGAGGAGAGCGGAAUACCCAGUGUAGAGGUGAAAUUCGUAGAUAUUGGGUGGAACACCGGUGGCGAAGGCGGCUCUCUGGCCCUGAUCUGACGCUAAGGCGCGAAAGCGUGGGGAGCAAACAGG